ensembl:snoRNA
AGUGUUCUCUGGUGAGGCUGUGUUCUUACACUGACUGUAUAAAAAGAGCAGACAGAGCAAAUCUACCUCAUUUGAGGCCUUAUAUGCCUGUUCUGAAUUAUGUAUGGGGAGAAAUGG